AAACAAAUAUAAACCAUGAUAAAAAAAAAAAAAGAUUAGACCUAAUUCUCUUUUCUCUCUCGAGCUCCAGCCCCCGGGGAAAAAUGUAGAUCCGAGGCCGGAUCGCGAUGGUGUGUGGUGGAAGCGCCCUCUUCUUUCUCUCCGCACAAUCCCCAUAUGUCCUCCGACAGGUCGAUGCUUUUUGAAGUUGGUUUGGUUUCUGUGGAGGGUUCAAUUCAUUUCUUUAUCCAUUUUCGUUUGUGAAGUUCUUCGUCCAUGGCUCGUGCUUGAAAGGGGAAAAUUGUGAAUUUUAUCAUGACUCUAAGGAUCCGCCGAAUAAUGUAAUGUUUGCACAUUCUACCAAAAAGGGAUAUGCUUUUACGGGAGUAGAUGUAGAUAUGAUCAUGUCAGAGCUUCUUCCAAUGCUCAUAGACCACCUCUUACCUCUGAUUCUGAGUCUCUUGAUCGCUCUUUGUGUUGUGAAUCUUUCCACCCAGUUCCAUAAUUUUGCUUAUGUAUUGGGAAUUUGGUCAUAACUUUAAAACCGUAUACCUAAAUCAAGAUCUGUUUUUUUAUGUGGCUUUAUAUGUCUGUUGUGAAUCUUUCCACUAAGUUCCAUAAUUUUCUGGUUGUUUUGGUACUCUUUUUGUACUCGCCAUCAAGACAGAUGAAUUUAGUAGCUUUAUGGCUUCA